rnacentral:rRNA from 1 species
GACGAACGCUGGCGGCGUGCUUAACACAUGCAAGUCGAACGGAAAGGCCCUGCUUUUGUGGGGUGCUCGAGUGGCGAACGGGUGAGUAACACGUGAGUAACCUGCCCUUGACUUUGGGAUAACUUCAGGAAACUGGGGCUAAUACCGGAUAGGAGCUCCUGCUGCAUGGUGGGGGUUGGAAAGUUUCGGCGGUUGGGGAUGGACUCGCGGCUUAUCAGCUUGUUGGUGGGGUAGUGGCUUACCAAGGCUUUGACGGGUAGCCGGCCUGAGAGGGUGACCGGCCACAAUAGGACUGAGAUACGGCCCAGACUGCUACGGGAGGCAGUAGUGGAGAAUAUUGCACAGUGGGCGGAAGCCUGAUGCAGCAACGCCGCGUGCGGGAUGACGGCCUUCGGGUUGUAAACCGCUUUCGCCUGUGACGAAGCGUGAGUGACGGUAAUGGGUAAAGAAGCACCGGCUAACUACGUG